rnacentral:rRNA from 1 species
CCUACGGGAGGCAGCAGUGAGGAAUAUUGGUCAAUGGCCGGGAGGCUGAACCAGCCAAGUCGCGUGAGGGAAGACGGCCCUUCGGAUCGUAAACCUCUGUCAGCAGGGAAGAACGUUCACUGUGCUCAUCAGCAGUGAAUUGCCGGUCCCUGCAAAGGAAGCCCCGCCUAACUCCGUGCCAGCAGCCUCGGUAAUACGGAGGGUGCGAGCGUUAAUCGGAAUUACGGGGCGUAAAGCGCUCGUAGGCGGUAUGUCAAGUCAAGGGUGAAAUCACCGGGCUCAACGUGGGAAAUGCCUUUGAAACUGGCAAACUGGAGUGUGGGAGAGGAGAGUGGAAUUCCAGGUGGAGGAGUGAAAUCCGUAGAUAUCCGGAGGAACAGCAGUGGCGAAGGCGACUAGCUGGAACAUAACUGACGCUGAGGAGCGAAAGCGUGGGUAGCAAACAGGAUUAGAUACCCCAGUAGUC